rnacentral:ncRNA from 1 species
AGAAAUACGGUGAACGGGCCAGUAAUCGAUGUGUAUUUACCAAAGAGAGGAAAUCCGGCGGCUGUAAGAUUUCUGUAAAUGCCUUGAUGAACCUAUCCGGGAGUAGGUUAGUGUAUGCUGACUGCAGUAAACUGCAUUAUCAAUGUGAGUGGAUAACUUUUAUCAACAAAGGUGGUACCGCGGAAUAAUACUGAUUUCGUCCUUUAC